CAAUAAUUUGGAUACUUUUCACCAUGUUUCUGUUUAGGAUACACCUCAUCUCAGAAUGCUUAUGGCCCUGGUGGUGCGUGAGCUCAGGAGGCGAGUUCUCAUGAUGACUUGACUCGGUUCCUUCCUCAUGCUCUGGUUCCAGUACUUCUGCAGCCAUCUGACCACCAGCCACUGUCCUCAGCUUCAUGCCAGCUUAAAAAAAAAACACA